rnacentral:rRNA from 1 species
UACGUAGGGCGCAAGCGUUGUCCGGAAUUAUUGGGCGUAAAGAGCUCGUAGGCGGUUUGUCGCGUCUGCUGUGAAAACCUAAGGCUCAACCUUGGGCUUGCAGUGGGUACGGGCAGACUAGAGUGCGGUAGGGGUGACUGGAAUUCCUGGUGUAGCGGUGAAAUGCGUAGAUAUCUGGAGGAACACCGGUGGCGAAGGCGGCGUCCUGGACCAACACUGACACUGAGGAGCGAAAGCCAGGGGAGCAAACGGG